rnacentral:rRNA from 1 species
CCCGAAGUAUCCUGAAUCUUUCGCAUUGUUAAUCGUACAAGUGCAUAUAAUAAACACAAAAAUCAAUGAUAAUUAUGCCAUUAUAUAAUUCCGAAAAAUUAACGCACUGUAGUCAUAUAAAUCUAUCAGCACUUUAUCAAAUUAAUGACAUUUAUUCUAUGUUAAAAUGCAAGCAUAAUAAUUUGAAUAAACUAUAAGCCAUAUUUUAUGAUAAAUUUUGUUAUGCUAAUAGAUUACAAUGUCCUUAUAUGGAAAAAAUGCACACUAUUAUCAUAAUAUUGUUUAAACAUUACAAUUCUAAUGAUGAAUUUUCCAUAACGGAUAUUCAGGUUCAUCGGGC